UAGGGAAUCUUCCGCAAUGGACGCAAGUCUGACGGAGCAACGCCGCGUGAGUGAAGAAGGAUUUCGGUUCGUAAAACUCUGUUGUUAGAGAAGAACAGCGCAUAGAGUAACUGUUAUGCGUGUGACGGUAUCUAACCAGAAAGCCACGGCUAACUACGUGCCAGCAGCCGCGGUAAUACGUAGGUGGCAAGCGUUGUCCGGAUUUAUUGGGCGUAAAGCGAGCGCAGGCGGUCAAUUAAGUCUGAUGUGAAAGCCCCCGGCUCAACCGGGGAGGGUCAUUGGAAACUGGUUGACUGGAGUGCAGAAGAGGAGAGUGGAAUUCCAUGUGUAGCGGUGAAAUGCGUAGAUAUAUGGAGGAACACCAGUGGCGAAGGCGACUCUCUGGUCUGUAACUGACGCUGUGGCUCGAAAGCGUGGGUAGCAAACAGG
rnacentral:rRNA from 1 species